rnacentral:rRNA from 1 species
GGGAGAAGCCCUUUCGGGGGCAGAAACCGGCGCACGGGUGCGUAACGCGUAUGCAACCUACCUUUCACAGGGGGAUAGCCCGAAGAAAUUUGGAUUAAUACCCCAUAAUAUUGUUGGAUGGCAUCAUCUGGCAAUUAAAGCUACGACGGUGGAAGAUGGGCAUGCGUCCUAUUAGCUAGUUGGAGUGGUAACGGCACCCCAAGGCUACGAUAGGUAGGGGUCCUGAGAGGGAGAUCCCCCACACUGGUACUGAGACAGGGACCAGACUCCUACGGGAGGCAGCAGUGAGGAAUAUUGGUCAAUGGUCGGAAGACUGAACCAGCCAUGCCGCGUGCAGGAAGAAUGCCUUAUGGGUUGUAAACUGCUUUUAUAUGGGAAGAAUAAGGCGUACGUGUACGUUGAUGACGGUACCAUAUGAAUAAGCAUCGGCUAACUCCGUGCCAGCAGCCGCGGUAAUACGGAGGAUGCGAGCGUUAUUCGGAAUCAUUGGGUUUAAAGGGUCUGUAGGCGGGCUAUUAAGUCAGGGGUGAAAGGUUUCAGCUUAACUGAGAAAUUGCCUUUGAUACUGGUAGUCUUGAAUAUCUGUGAAGUUCUUGGAAUGUGUAGUGUAGCGGUGAAAUGCUUAGAUAUUACACAGAACACCGAUUGCGAAGGCAGGGGACUAACAGACAAUUGACGCUGAGAGACGAAAGCGUGGGGAGCGAACAGGAUUAGAUACCCUGGUAGUCCACGCUGUAAACGAUGGAUACUAGCUGUUUGGCGCAAGCUGAGUGGCUAAGCGAAAGUGAUAAGUAUCCCACCUGGGGAGUACGCACGCAAG